AAAAGAGGCAGAAUGUAGAAGAAUUAGAAAUUUGGAUUGAUCCAAGAUUUAAAUCACGAAAUUAUGCGAAAAAUAGACGUUUUAAAGAAAUUAUUAAAGAAGGACAUUCAAAAACGACCACUCCUGUAAGAAAAAAAUAUGAAAAUGUAAAAAAAAUGAAAAGGAAGGCUCAAAAUGGAUCGAAAGUAGAAGAAUUUCUAGCGCCAUCACAGCAUAACAAUUUAACUUCGAG